GAUGAAGAACGCAGUGAAAUGCGAUAAGUAGUGUGAAUUGCAGAAUUCAGUGAAUCAUCGAAUCUUUGAACGCACAUUGCGCCCUUUGGUAUUCCUUAGGGCAUGCCUGUUCGAGCGUCAUUUAAACCUUCAAGCUAAGCUUGGUGUUGGGUGACUGUCCGCUUCACGGCGGACUCGCCUCAAAAUUAUUGGCGGCCGGUACAUUGGCUUCGAGCGCAGCAGAAACGCGAACUCGGGCCCGUCGUAUUGGCUCCCAGAAGCUAUCUUCACAAUUUUGACCUCGGAUCAGGUAGGGAUACCCGCUGAACUUAAGCAUACAAUAAGCGGAGGA
rnacentral:misc_RNA from 1 species